ensembl:lncRNA
CUUCCUUCAAACAUACUUACCCAAAGCCACCUCCUCCCCACCACAAGCUGUUACUGCUCACCCUUCUCCCCAUGUCCUCUUCCUAACUACACAAUGAGCCAGCACAGCCCUAGCCACAGCUCCCUGGAAAUGGAACUAGGGUCCUAGCUUCGAGGAGACAUAGCCGAGUUCACACCUCCUUACCAGUUCUCUGUCCUAGAAAACUCAUUGUGCCUCUCAGGGCCUCCCCAGUCUCCCAACCUGCACAAUGGAGAUCAGACUGGAAUCUACUUCCUAGUCACCAGGUGUAUGGGAGAUAAUAUCUAUAACACCUGUGGGCUGCCGUCAUGUGUAUCUAAGGCACAAACUUAGAGAUGGGAGAAUUACAAGAGGAGAUAGGAUGUAGCGUGGAACACCACUCAAAACAGGCCUGGGCUCCAGCAGUGUGAUAUUGGAACAGCCACUUCUAACUUGGCCUCAUUUGAGUGUCAGAACCAUGAGGGGGUUAAUGAACAAAAUUCAGACACUGUCAUCCUCUGGAUUAAAACCUUUCAAUUGUUUCCUGUUUUAUUUAGAGUGAGACCCAAGUGCCUCACCUCAGCCUAUGAGGUGGGCAGCCUCCACAGUGAUACCCAGUGACCCCACCUAUGGUAUACACUUCCCUUCCACAUUCCUGUGCAACCACUGAGUGGUUAGUGACUGGCUUCUGACCAGUAGAAUACAGCCAAUGGGAUGGGAUGCCAGGUCUAAGUUUUAAACACAGUCUCUCACUUCCUUCUUACUCCCUCUCUUGUGUUCCACCUCUCUCUCUCCCCCUGUGUGUCUCUCUGUCUCUGUCUCUCACUGUAGUGUCCCUGAGCUGAGGAACCAAGCACAGACGUUUUGUGCGGCCCUACAUAGGGGCCCACACAGGAGAGAACCUAGGCAGUGGCCAGGCCAACAGAUGGAAAGGAACUCGCGGUCUGAGCCAAGUCAGCAUCCUGAAUCCAAUUGAAAGCUCCUGGAAGACAGAGACCACUUGGCCAUUUUCAGCUCUGGACUUGGACCCUCCGAGGCACCUGGCACAGGGGAUGGUCACCUUCUCUCCCUGCAGUGGGGCCCACUGCAUCCUCCUGUGCCUCGUCACCCGCUCGCCAGGCCAGCACUCCGUGGAGAGAAGCUGCGUGCCGUGCCCCUUUGGCUUUUUGUGGUUGGGCGGCAGGACAACUCUGCAGCCAUGCCCCACCUGCGGAACCUGCACUGAGCUCCCAGGACUCCUAGACAGCAAGGAGUACCAGUGGUGCCUGACUAGACAGAAGCCAAGCUUGCAGAAUGCUGGCUACGUCUUCUGCCCCCUGGGCUACUUCUUCACAGACAGAGGCCCCAGCUGCCAGCCCUUCCCCACAGAACACAUCUGCCCAGACAGUGCUGUUGCUGCACUGUGCCCAGCCAGGAGCUUCAAGGACAAGAGAGAGACUCUGCACUCCAACGCCAGCUUCUGCUCAGCAGUUCUUGGCCAAUGUCUGCAGUGCCCAGCAGGACACUUCUGCCCCAACAGGGCCACCCAACUCAUCCCGAGCCAGCCAGGCACAUUCAGUCCCCACCCAGGCCAAGAUGAAGCCACAGACUGCGCUCCAUGCCCAGCAGGCAGGGCCUGCACCCAGGCGGGGCUGCCUCAGCCAGACGCGGAGUAUGCACCAGGGUAUGUGUGCCUUGUGGGCUCCUGUCUGCACACUCCCCGCCACGCCUGCCCACCUGGGACCUUCAGCAACCGCACCAACCUCUCCAACCUGUCGCACUGUGAGAUUUGCCCCACCAGACUGGCCUGUCCUAGGGGUGAGUGAGGAGGCAGAAAGGCAAGCUUACUGCCUGCUGGACCGUACCUUUGGGUCAAAGCCCAGCUCCACUGCAAGGCAGGGAGGCCAAAAAAACAGACCUUUGCCCGCAGCCCCUUUGUUCCCCACAAAGAGCACGGUCCACCUCACCUUAGGAUGCCCAAGGAAGGGAGCAUGUAGAGCACUGAGUCCCCACCCCGCUGUCCAGAUGGGGCAGCCUCUGGGCCACUGCCAACCCAGAUGCCCCUUCCCCAAUGCCAGCCCCAGCCCGUGUCCCUGCCACUUGCCAGCGGGAUACGGCUAGAGGGGCUGCUGCUCCUCUGGGCCCAGUUCAGGACUGUGUGUGCAGGAGCCGGGGGUCCAAACUGGUCCCCCAUCUCCUGCCCAGCUGGCUGUUACUGCCCUCGGGGCACCAAACAGCCAACCCAGUUCCAGUGUGCCUCCGGGCACCUGGAGUAACCAGCCUGGACUGACCGCCAGCAGGGCGUGUGCACCCUGCCCCAGGGGCUGGUUCUGCAUCAGCGGAGCCCAGGUGCCCUCAGGGACAUGCAAAGCUGGGCAUUACUGCCCACAAGGUGAGUGGGGCCAGGGUCUGCCCUGGCAAGGUCACAGGUGAGUGCAAGAAGGGAACAUGGGCCAGCCUGCACACCUCCCCAGAUUAAGGUUAGAUCUCAGGAAGGCCUUCCUGAGAGACAGACUCGGACUGGUCAGCCACUGAGCAUCCUAACUGGGGGUUCACGGGGGGUUUCCACGUAGACAAAGGUUGGGUCCCAGGUAAGUGGCACCCCUGUCCCCUGCUGCUUCUCCAGUGGCCUCCCUUGAGGAAUUGUCCCCAGGGAGCAGAAUGGGGAGCUCUGUGCUUGGAUGAUGCAGCUCUGGCACCCCUCUUACCUCCUCAGACCCUUCCCCUUCUCUCUGAAACAGGUACAAAGUGGGGUACCCAGUUCCCCUGCCCAGCGGGCACCUACAGCUCUCAGGCAGGCAACGGCCGGGUGGAAGACUGUCUGCCCUGUCCCCCAGGGGCCUUCUGCCCCAGGGGGGGCCCCAAGCCUGUGCUCUGCCCACGGGGAACCGCCCGCCAGAGUCCAGAUACGAGGCUGGCUGCGGCCUGUGUGCUGUGCCCCGCUGGCCACCACUGCCCUGAGCCCGGCACCACCACUCCGUGGCCAUGCAGCGCUGGCAGCUUCUCAGUAAGGGUUCCCAGGACAGACGCCAUCCCUCAGAGGGCCCGGAAGUAGGAGGAUCCUAAAUUCCUAAAGGGAGGUGAGGAGGCUUAGCGAAGCCUCCGUCCUGGGUCCCCUCCUCCCAGCACUGACCAUCUGUGGACCACGCCAGAUGCUCAGAGAGCACCUCAGUUCUCCUAGCAUCUGCCCUGCUCCGACCCACGCUCCUCGGAAAGGGAGGUGCACACACAGAGCCUGGGGCCCGGGCAGCAGCAUUCCCACUUUCAUUCAACACGG